AAAGCCUAUCGUUAGAUAAGCACGAAGGGUCGCCCUAUCACACUUGCGUGCAUUGUAGAGGUU
rnacentral:rRNA from 1 species